rnacentral:ncRNA from 1 species
GAGCAUUGCAAUUAUUGCUCUUCAAUGAGGAAUUCCUAGUAAGCGCAAGUCAUCAGCUCGCGUUGAUUAUGUCCCUGCCCUUUGUACACACCGCAAGGAGUUUAGGGUAGGCCUUGCGCUGACAUUGGCUGAUACUUACUUAUCAUCA